rnacentral:rRNA from 1 species
UAUAGAUGGAUCCGCGCUGCAUUAGCUAGUUGGUAAGGUAACGGCUUACCAAGGCAACGAUGCAUAGCCGACCUGAGAGGGUGAUCGGCCACACUGGAACUGAGACACGGUCCAGACUCCUACGGGAGGCAGCAGUAGGGAAUCUUCCGCAAUGGGCGAAAGCCUGACGGAGCAACGCCGCGUGAGUGAUGAAGGUCUUCGGAUCGUAAAACUCUGUUAUUAGGGAAGAACAUAUGUGUAAGUAACUGUGCACAUCUUGACGGUACCUAAUCAGAAAGCCACGGCUAACUACGUGCCAGCAGCCGCGGUAAUACGUAGGUGGCAAGCGUUAUCCGGAAUUAUUGGGCGUAAAGCGCGCGUAGGCGGUUUUUUAAGUCUGAUGUGAAAGCCCACGGCUCAACCGUGGAGGGUCAUUGGAAACUGGAAAACUUGAGUGCAGAAGAGGAAAGUGGAAUUCCAUGUGUAGCGGUGAAAUGCGCAGAGAUAUGGAGGAACACCAGUGGCGAAGGCGACUUUCUGGUCUGUAACUGACGCUGAUGUGCGAAAGCGUGGGGAUCAAACAGGAUUAGAUACCCUGGUAGUCCACGCCGUAAACGAUGAGUGCUAAGUGUU